ACACGCACACACGCACACACGCUGAGCUACCGCCAAUGCUUGAGCCCCCAGCCCUUACACACACCCAUACACGUGCACAAACACACACACACGCUGAACCAACUUCAACACUUGAGCCCCCAGCCCCUAGAGAGAGACACACACACACACGCUGAUGCGGGAGCAUUUAGCACAGUUUCCUUGCUGAAAAAGCAGGACCUCGGUUUAGAAAAUGGAAAUUGCCCAGGAGGAAAAGAGAGCUGAGAUAUAUGCAGCCCCAGGUACUUAGGGUGCCUCCUUCUAAUUCAUCUUCACCAUUGUGGUUGUCAAUAUGGCAUGCAGAAUUAUCCCUCUUUCCAGGUUUUCCCCAAGGACCCUGGACAAUGCUGGUUUUUCCUAUGUGCACCACCAAAGGGCCUAUCCAGCUUCUGGAGUCUACCUGGAUUCCUGGGCUCAUGGCCCCUUCCUCCAUCUUCAAACCAGCAAUGGAAAUGGAAAUGAAAGCAAAAUGGAAGGACGUGAGGUCCUUAUCCUUGGAGAUCCUAUGGAGUCUCCACAGACAUUCCUUGAAGAAAUCAGAUGGAGCUGAGCCUGACACUCUAACCGGUUCUCUGGGUGUACUGCAAAGGUCUAAUAAAAGGCACCUUUGCCCGGUUGCUUCAAUUCUAGGAAGCUGUUCAAUGUUUGACUAUAUUUCUCCAUACUCAUUUGAAAACAGUUCAUCAGGUUAGUUCAGUUGAAUUAUUGCUCCUUGGGAGUUUUCCAAACCCUGGAUUUCCUUCGGAGAGAGCUAGAUUCUAUUCCAUUCUUGGAAUUCAGCUCCUUGCCCUUCUCUGUGACCCCGGAUCGCGAAUGCAGUAAAAAUAAAAAUAUCCUGCUGCCUCCUGCACUAA
rnacentral:lncRNA from 10 species